rnacentral:sRNA from 1 species
CUGGGAAGAAAAGGACAGCAUGUGACAUUCCUUACAGUCCCUUACCGACAUGACAUUGUCUACAGCUCUAGCACUUGUGAUAGCCAAACUACACAGCAUACACUUUCUAUAUAUUUAUCACUUUUUCCAUUACAUUUUGUGUCGUGGAUGUGUGCCCCUGUGUGGGGGCGUGUUUGCUACAGUGCAUACAUACAGAGGUCAUCAGGCAACUUUCCAAGGUUGGCCCUCUCCCUUUACCAUGGGGCUCUCAUGUUCCCAUAGCCACAUAUGUUAAACGCAUCGCCUUGUGGAGUAUGGAUCUGGCUGUGUGGAGCCCCCAAUCUUUUUGAAACAGUCUUGUGUAGCCAACUAGACUCAAUGUAGCCAAAGCUGUCCUUGAACUCCUGAUCCUCAGCCUCCCAAGGGCUGAUUAAUUACAGUCAGAAGCCACUGAACUCAUAACUUUAUGAGCCCCACUAACAUCCACCAAAGGAGGAGUACAGUAAGAUUAACUUUGACCUGGAGAGACAGGAAAGAGACAACGGUGAAUCAAGGAGACCAAGAGGAACACAAGUGAAUGUCAGCUAGUGUGGGGCUGUGGAGGUCAACCUUGUGAAGGAAAAAGUGGGAUGGAGAGCGAGGCGCCACAGUCUCCUGCGACUCCUGAAGAGAGUCCUGAUCUGCGGUACACGGCAUUAGAUCCAAGAUGGAUCCCGGAACACCGGUGAGACAGCAGAAAGGUACUGAGGCCAAAACAGUGGCUGCUUCCCCAUCUUCAGGGAAGUCCUAAUGGGUGACAAUGCUCCCCCCUACUCUUUCUGCAUAUUUCAUCAGGCAGGGCUUUCACUGGGGCAUGGUUAUGGUGUGGCGAGAUAUGAUUGGCUGAGGAUUUAGGGGCAUGGGAUUGGCUGAAACACUGUAUAAGCUUAUGCAUUGCCCACUAAACUGAGAUCUGCACCCUGAUGGUCUCCAGAGUCUGAUUCCCAGGAUUCUUCAUGUGCUCCAGCCCCAUUUACCCUCAGUCUACUAUGAGGCCAGUAGCAGCCUAACAUGAUGUCAGAGUAUCUUCAGCAUUCAAUGUGCUCCCUCCCAUCAUCUAGGCCACACCUCACAAUGUAACAAAAGGAUUGUCCGGUUUCUUGGUGGUUCAGUUGUUUGAGGUAUUGAGGACUGAACCUAGGAGCUCACGCCCACCAGGGCAACUUGUUAAGAUUCAGGAAACGAACAACUCAAGAGUCUCCAGAAGUCCCUGAAACUGACCAGCUACAUUAGUUUCUUUCCUUAUGGUUAGCUGCAAGGGCUGCUAAGAAACACAGGAGACAAGCAAAUCUGCCUAGAAGAGUCUCCCUGACCAGACCAGCUACCUGAAUGACGGGCCAACUGAGUUGCCUGGAGACAGGCUAGACCAAGUGAGCAACUUGGAAGAGACACUGCCCAGACCUGUUGAGCUGCCUGAAAAUUGUGCCGUGAGCCCCAGAGUCCCAGCUUUCAUGAGCCUUGUUUGCUGGGGUGGCCUUUGGCAAUCGCCACUGUCUUGGAAUCAUUUCUACUCCUGUAGCCCCUUACCCAUAAUCCUGAGAGUAACCCCAUAAAUCUCAUUGGUUCACCUAAUUGGGCUUUGCUGGUUGGUAUCCUUAGUCGUUCGUGGUUGGUUCCCUACCUGGGGUGAGUAGACAUUUGUUCAUGUCUGCCAGUUGUGUAGCACUUGCUGACUCAAGAGAGACUGCUUCUGCCCGCUAGCGACACAAUUAAAGGCAGUAGUUGCCCCGACUGCUGCGGUCAUUCAUAGAGUACAAGGCUGGAGUGUGGCUGAGCAGUGGGAUGAAGGCCUCAGCCCCUCCCCAACCCUGAAAACAAGCAUAGUAAAAAAGCUUCCCUAGAACUUUGUGUGGUGCAUUCCUAGAAUUCCAGCGCAGGGGAGGACCAUGAGUUUGAUGUCAGCCUGGGCGACAUGAGACCUUGUCUCAAGACAAACCAAGAAACAAACAGACAAGAUGUGCUUCCCAUUCACUCACUUUUGCCCUUGUUCUGCUCUGGGUGAGUCUACGUAGGGUUGAAGGUGCCUCCAAGUUGUAUUCCAAGAUCAGGCAGAAAUUCCUGAGGCUGCAACUAAUGCUCUCCUUUCUGUGACCAAAGGUCCCACAGAGACAGCACUAUGCUCACACAAUCGUUCCCUCGCAAUAGCCCAUCUCUCUUUGGAGUCCCCUACAGUCCAGCCUAAAACUCUCUGGCCCAUGGAUCCUCUAGGCAUCUCCUGCCUUAACCUGACCCACCCUUCAUACUUUUCUGUCCUGAGAGGGCCAGUCUGGAUGGACAGCUUUCUGUGUGGUGUGUCUUCUCAGGGGCCAGGGGCCUGUGCAUAAAACCAUCAGCAUAUGCCCAGGGGGCAAUAAGUCCAGCACUGCUCUCCAGCACCCUCUAGAGGCUUCUGGUGACAGCGGGUGAAAUGCACAGGAUGGGGCUUGCAGAGACUGCCCCAGAAGGCUCCAUGGUUAGGUGAUUGCCACCCUGAAGCACCUGAGAAGUCUGUCCUGUGCCUCAGGUGACCCACCUCUGUCAGGGUGAGUCAGGUCCUGCAUCACUGUCUUCCUGCUCCUUUCUCCCCUCUGCAGACACCUCACCCAGCCUUUCCAGCCCACACUGGGGCUCAGGCUGGCCGGGUAUCAUCUAUGUCUCUAGGCUUCUGACUCACAUUGGUACUAUUGCUGGCUGUGUCCUAAGGAAGCCUUGUGGUACUGAGAGGUGGACACAGGGUGGCCAGGAUGACUCUCCUCCCCCCUCAAAUUGCUACUGGCUCUCUGCUUGCCUGACCUGAAGCCUGCCUAACAUUUCUCCCAAAGCUAACAUCGUAGCUUGCCUCCUCCUGUGAGGCCCCACUUUCUGUCUGCCUUGACAUUUCAUCUUGGCUCAAAUGAGCCUAGACGUGUUUAGAUAAACAUCCUCCUGCUCUCGUCCCACAAAUCCUGUAGAGAAAAUGAAUUUGGGAGGUCCCUGCUUAUCUAACUCCAGUCCUUGCUGCAUUUCCUGCUGUUGGUUGGUGGCAACAGACAAAGCCAGCCUGCUGUCCAGACAGUUGGUGGAGGGGCCGUUUUCCUGUCUCCCUGCCCACCUGGAUCUGAGUGAUCUUGACAGCACCUUUAAAGAGUUAUCCUGGGCAGACUCUAGGUUCUACAGACAGCCAACCCUGAGUCCCUUAGUGUCUAUAGAGUCUUUUCCUGCUUCCUUACUGUUCCCUAUGGUACUGGAACCCUACUGGAACCAGGGUUGGCAGUCAGUCUAGUCCUAGACUGCCUAGAGAGAGCACUGAGGGAUGGUAGGGUGCCAGACAUCCACCCCAGGGUGGGAACAGGGCCUGAAUUUUGUUUUUGAGACAGAGU